rnacentral:lncRNA from 1 species
GCGGCGGAAGGUGAUCGAAUUCCGGUGAUGCGAGUUGUUCUCCGUCUAUAAAUACGCCUCGCCCGAGCUGUGCGGCAGGCAGUGAGGCAGCCAGCGCAGGGGCUUCUGCUGAGGGCGCAGGCGGAGCUUGAGGAAACCGCAGAUAAGUUUUUUUCACUUUGAAAGAUAGAGAUUAAUACAACUACUUAAAAAAUAUAGUCAAUAGGUUACUAAGAUAUUGCUUAGCGUUAAGCUUUUAACGUAAUUUUAAUAGCUUAAGAUUUUAAGAGAAAAUAUGAAGACUUAGAAGAGUAGCAUGACGAAGGAAAAGAUAAAAGAUUUCUAAAACAUGACGGAGGUUGAGAUGAAGCUUCUUCAUGGAGUAAAAAAUGUAUUUAAAAGAAAAUUGAGAGAAAGGACUACAGAGCCCUGAAUUAAUACCAAUAGAAGGGCAAUGCUUUUAGAUUAAAAUGAAGGUGACUUAAACAGCUUAAAGUUUACUUUAAAAGUUGUAGGUGAUUAAAAUAAUUUGAAGGCGAUCUUUUAAAAAGAGAUUAAACCGAAGGUGAUUAAAAGACCUUGAAAUCCAUGACGCAGGGAGAAUUGCGUCAUUUAAAGCCUAGUUAACGCAUUUAAACGCAGACGAAAAUGGAAAGAUUAGUUGGGAGUGGUAGGAUGAAACGAUUUGGAGAAGAUAGAAGUUUGAAGUGGAAAACUGGAAGACAGAAGUACAGGAAGGCGGAGAAAAGAAUAGAGAAGAUAGGGAAAUUAGAAGAUAAAAACAUACUUUUAGAAGAAAAAAGAUAAAUUUAAACCUGAAAAGUAGGAAGCAGAAGAAAAAAGACAAGCUAGGAAACAAAAAACUAAGGGCAAAAUGUACAAACUUAGAAGAAAAUUGGAAGAUAGAAACAAGAUAGAAAAUGAAAAUAUUGUCAAGAGUUUCAGAUAGAAAAUGAAAAACAAGCUAAGACAAGUAUUGGAGAAGUAUAGAAGAUAGAAAAAUAUAAAGCCAAAAAUUGGAUAAAAUAGCACUGAAAAAGUGAGGAAAUUAUUGGUAACCAAUUUAUUUUAAAAGCCCAUCAAUUUAAUUUCUGGUGGUGCAGAAGUUAGAAGGUAAAGCUUGAGAAGAUGAGGGUGUUUACGUAGACCAGAACCAAUUUAGAAGAAUACUUGAAGCUAGAAGGGGAAGUUGGUUAAAAAUCACAUCAAAAAAGGACUGGUGUAAUUUAAAAAAAAACUAAGGCAGAAGGCUUUUGGAAGAGUUAGAAGAAUUUGGAAGGCCUUAAAUAUAGUAGCUUAGUUUGAAAAAUGUGAAGGACUUUCGUAACGGAAGUAAUUCAAGAUCAAGAGUAAUUACCAACUUAAUGUUUUUGCAUUGGACUUUGAGUUAAGAUUAUUUUUUAAAUCCUGAGGACUAGCAUUAAUUGACAGCUGACCCAGGUGCUACACAGAAGUGGAUUCAGUGAAUCUAGGAAGACAGCAGCAGACAGGAUUCCGGGAACCAGUGUUUGAUGAAGCUAGGACUGAGGAGCAAGCGAGCAAGCAGCAGUUCGUGGUGAAGAUAGGAAAAGAGUCCAGGAGCCAGUGCGAUUUGGUGAAGGAAGCUAGGAAGAAGGAAGGAGCGCUAACGAUUUGGUGGUGAAGCUAGGAAAAAGGAUUCCAGAAAGGAGCGAGUGCGAUUUGGUGAUGAAGCUAGCAGGCGGCUUGGCUUGGCAACCACACGGAGGAGGCGAGCAGGCGUUGUGCGUAGAUAGAGGAUCCUAGACCAGCAUGCCAGUGUGCCAAGGCCACAGGGAAAACGAGUGGUUGGUAAAAAUCCGUGAGGUCGGCAAUAUGUUGUUUUUCUGGAACUUAUGAGGCAUUUCAUCCUUCAUGAAGCUGUUCAGGAUUUUGAAUUGCAUAUGAGUGCUUGGCUCUUCCUUCUGUUCUCCUAACUUCACAGAGAAUGCAGUUGUCUUGACUUCAGGUCUGUCUGUUCUGUUGGCAAGUAAAUGCAGUACUGUUCUGAUCCCGCUGCUAUUAGAAUGCAUUGUGAAACGACUGGAGUAUGAUUAAAAGUUGUGUUCCCCAAUGCUUGGAGUAGUGAUUGUUGAAGGAAAAAAUCCAGCUGAGUGAUAAAGGCUGAGUGUUGAGGAAAUUUCUGCAGUUUUAAGCAGUCGUAUUUGUGAUUGAAGCUGAGUACAUUUUGCUGGUGUAUUUUUAGGUAAAAUGCUUUUUGUUCAUUUCUGGUGCUGGGAGGGGACUGAAGCCUUUAGUCUUUUCCAGAUGCAACCUUAAAAUCAGUGACAAGAAACAAAUUCCAAACAAGCAACAGUCUUCAAGAAAUUAAACUGGCAAGUGGAAAUGUUUAAACAGUUCAGUGAUCUUUAGUGCAUUGUUUUUGUGUGGGUUUCUCUCUCCCCUCCCUUGGUCUUAAUUCUUACAUGCAGGAACACUCAGCAGACACACGUAUGCGAAGGGCCAGAGAAGCCAGACCCAGUAAGAAAAAAUAGCCUAUUUACUUUAAAUAAACCAAACAUUCCAUUUUAAAUGUGGGGAUUGGGAACCACUAGUUCUUUCAGAUGGUAUUCUUCAGACUAUAGAAGGAGCUUCCAGUUGAAUUCACCAGUGGACAAAAUGAGGAAAACAGGUGAACAAGCUUUUUCUGUAUUUACAUACAAAGUCAGAUCAGUUAUGGGACAAUAGUAUG